rnacentral:sRNA from 1 species
AUAGAUGUUAAUGAAUGAAGGGGCGAUUUUUAUGAAGCAAUUAUUGCUUAUUCUACUAGCCAUUGUUUUACCCAUUGGUCUAGUUACAAUCGUAGCAUUUCAAGUUUAUAAGAAAAAAACAGCUACCUAUAUGCCAUUAAAAAAUGAAUUCGUUCAUUGGACAAAGUAAGCAACAGAAGGAGGAUUUAGAAUGAAAAAAGCAGAAAGUGAAAAACCACUUGUGAUUAAAAUUGUCGUCUCUGUUUUAAUUGGGCUUGCCUUGUUAAAUCUUAUGCCUAUUUUAGCUAUUUUUUCUUAAAAAACCAGUUGCCAUUUUAUAUGUUUUAUGCUAAUUUAGUAGUAGAAUUUGAUGUUUUUAUGGUGAGACAAUUAACGGCCAUUGCCUUAAUGCUUU